rnacentral:rRNA from 1 species
GAUGAACGCUGGCGGCGUGCUUAACACAUGCAAGUCGAACGAAGCACUUUGAUCGAUUUCUUCGGAUUGAAAUUUUAGUGACUGAGUGGCGGACGGGUGAGUAACGCGUGGGUAACCUGCCUCACACAGGGGGAUAACAGUUGGAAACGGCUGCUAAUACCGUAUAAGCGCACAGUACCGCAUGGUACAGUGUGAAAAACUCCGGUGGUGUGAGAUGGACCCGCGUCUGAUUAGCUAGUUGGCAGGGCAGCGGCCUACCAAGGCGACGAUCAGUAGCCGACCUGAGAGGGUGACCGGCCACAUUGGGACUGAGACACGGCCCAAACUCCUACGGGAGGCAGCAGUGGGGAAUAUUGCACAAUGGGGGAAACCCUGAUGCAGCGACGCCGCGUGAGCGAAGAAGUAUUUCGGUAUGUAAAGCUCUAUCAGCAGGGAAGAAGAAAUGACGGUACCUGACUAAGAAGCACCGGCUAAAUACGUGCCAGCCGCCGCAGUAAUAC